UACGUAGGCAGCAAGCGUUGUUCGGAAUUACUGGGCGUAAAGAGUGUGUAGGCGGUUUGCUAAGUUUGGUGUGAAAUCUCCCGGCUUAACUGGGAGGGUGCGCCGAAAACUGGCAGGCUUGAGUGCCGGAGAGGAUAGCGGAAUUCCCGGUGUAGCGGUGAAAGUGACGUAGAUAUCGGGAGGAACACCUGCGGUGUAGACGGCUAUCUGGACGGCCACUGACGCUGAGACACGAAAGCGUGGGUAGCAAACAGG
rnacentral:rRNA from 1 species